CAGCAGCUCAGUUGGUAGAGCAUCUGCCUGACAAGCGGAGUGUCGCCGAUUUGAUUCCGACUCAUGA
rnacentral:tRNA from 1 species